UUACCAAAUGUGUUUGUCUCUCUUGGAAAUGAAUAACAAAAUAUAUACAUCAAAACCAAACAACUUCUCCUCCUACUCUCUUCCUCCUCUGUCUGUCUCUUUCCAUAUUCUCUCUCAUUGAUUGGCAGAGAGAUGCUUUAUGUGUAAACUCUUUCAUUAAAGCAGCUGAGAAAGGCCUUGUGUUUUUUUCUGUUAUUUGGCUGAAACUUUGUGCUUUGAACAAAUAAACAGCCAAAACGGCCUGUGAACCUGCACACAACUCUCUCUUUCUGUUUCAGCCUUCGUUUUUUUCCCGGAAAACCGACUUGGGUUUCUGCUCAUCUCUCUGCUUUAGUACAAAGGGAUGCUUAUUGAUCAUGUGGCUGAGCCUCAACCUCUUCUCCAGCUGACCCCACUUGGGAAUUCCAGUGACAAAAUUGUAUUGCUGAGUUUCAAUUCAUAGUUCUAUUGGGAUGGAUUUCAAGUGAAGAUCAAAUUUUGAAGAUCUGGUUCUAAUCACUUUUAGUGAUAUUUCAUAUUGGUUUUCUUUGAGUUUUCUAUUAUAGCCUUAUGAAAGCUGCAGAAUCAUUUGAAAUUUCAAUGGCUUCAAGAGUGGAGAUUGAUGAAGAUAGUGAUACCAACAAAGGCAGUAUGUGGGUUUUGGAUCA